UUGAACGCUGGCGGCAUGCUUUACACAUGCCAGUCGGACGGUAACAGGCCGCAAGGUGCUGACGAGUGGCGAACGGGUGAGUAAUGCAUCGGAACGUGCCCAGUCGUGGGGGAUGACUACUCGAAAGAGUAGCUAAUACCGCAUACGAUCUAUGGAUGAAAGCGGGGGACCGUAAGGCCUCGCGCGAUUGGAGCGGCCGAUGUCAGAUUAGGUAGUUGGUGGGGUAAAGGCUCACCAAGCCAACGAUCUGUAGCUGGUCUGAGAGGACGACCAGCCACACUGGGACUGAGACACGGCCCAGACUCCUACGGGAGGCAGCAGUGGGGAAUUUUGGACAAUGGGCGCAAGCCUGAUCCAGCAAUGCCGCGUGCAGGAAGAAGGCCUUCGGGUUGUAAACUGCUUUUGUACGGAACGAAACGGCUCUGGUUAAUACCCGGGGCUAAUGACGGUACCGUAAGAAUAAGCACCGGCUAACUACGUG
rnacentral:rRNA from 1 species